GAUGAACGCUGGCGGCGUGCCUAAGACAUGCAAGUCGAGUGGGUUUAGGCCCACGGCGAACGGGUGAGUAAUACCUAGGAAUGUCCUUUAAGUUGAGCAUAACCAGCCGAAAGGUUGGAUAAUACUCGAUGUGGUCGUAAGACUAAAGUCGCAAGACGCUUAAAGCGCAGCCUGGGCACCAUCAGCUAGUUGGUAAGGUAAUGGCUUACCAAGGCUAUGACGGUUAGGGCCCGACG
rnacentral:rRNA from 1 species